AUGCUGUUUUUCAAUGUCAUUCUACUCACUGUCUUUUCAAGUGUCAGUUAUGGAAACAUCAUCACACCAACACGAACUGAGAUGUAUAGUGUGGAAGGUUCCACAGUGUCUUUGUCCUGUAACUACUCCUCAGCUUACACAGGUUCCUAUAUUCACUGGUAUCGUCAGUAUCCCAGAUCAGCCCCCCAGUUCCUGCUGGUCAUUGCACAGACCUCUACAGAGACAGAGAGCUCUAAGCUGGACAAAAGACUGUCUUCAAAAGUCAUUAGAGAGAAGAACCAAGUGGAUCUGGAGAUCUCCUCUACUGAAGUGACAGACUCUGCACUGUACUACUGUGCCAUGGCUCCCACAGUGUCAGGAAACUGA